rnacentral:ncRNA from 1 species
CUACACACUUAAUUGGAUUGAGCCUUAGUAUGAAAACUUACUAAGGAUCACUUUCAAAUUCAGAGAAACCCUGGGCAAUCCUAAGCCAAAUCUCGUUUUCCGAUAACAAAUAAAGGUUCAGAAAAAAAAAAAGGGAUAGGUGCAGAGACUAAAUGGAAGCUAUUCUAACAAAUGGAGUUAAAUGCGUUAGUAUAGGAAUUUUUACAUCGAAAUUUCAGAAAGAAAAAGAAUGAAG